rnacentral:rRNA from 1 species
UACGUAGGGUGCGAGCGUUAAUCGGAAUUACUGGGCGUAAAGCGUGCGCAGGCGGUUUUGUAAGCCAGAUGUGAAAUCCCCGGGCUUAACCUGGGAAUGGCAUUUGGGACUGCAAGGCUUGAGUGCGGCAGAGGAGACUGGAAUUCCCGGUGUAGCAGUGAAAUGCGUAGAUAUCGGGAGGAAUACCGAUGGCGAAGGCAGGUCUCUGGGCCGGAACUGACGCUGAGGAGCGAAAGCGUGGGGAGCGAACAGG